rnacentral:rRNA from 1 species
AUGGAAAUUGUCCAUACAUACGGGAAGCCUGACAUCUUCUUGACCAUGACUUGCAACCCUAAAUGGGAAGAGAUAACGAAUGAGUUGCUUCCUGGUCAGACGGCGCAAGAUCGUCCUGAUAUUGUGGCCCGUGUGUUCUACAGCAAGCCAGAGGCUAUGAAAGACCUGUUGCUCAAGAAAAUGGUCCUGGGUGUUGUUGUUGCUUAUGUGUACGUAGUCGAGUUCCAAAAGAGGGGCCUCCCACACGCACAUUUUUUGUUGAUCAUGGAUUCAACAUACAAGCUUCUCGUCCCGGAGCAGUAUGGCCGACUCAUUUCCGCAGAGCUCCCAGACAAGCAAAAGUAUCCGGAAUUGUAUGCAAUGGUGGUUAAACAUAUGAUGCACGGACCAUGCGGUGCUCUCAAUCCGAAGAAUGUUUGCAUGCAAGACAAUGAAUGCAAGUGCAGAUACCCUCGGCCGUUCAAUGAGAACACGGUACAAGGCAAGGACUCAUACCCAGUUUAUCGGUGUAGAGACGAUGGAAGACGUGCUAAGGUCUGA